rnacentral:tRNA from 1 species
GCGGGGGUGGAGCAGCUCGGUAGCUCGUCGGGCUCAUAACCCGAAGGUCGUCGGUUCAAAUCCGGCCCCCCGCA